UAGAUGAUUUUGUAUAAAUAUUCCGGAAAACCACGAUGUUCUAGAAUUUAGUUUCUAUUUAGUAGAUAAUUAUAUUUUUAAUAUUGGACUUUUCCCCGCCUUAUAUUUUGAUUUUGAAUACGAUUUCUAGCCAAAGAACUACAAAUGCAUGUUAUAUCUAUUCAUAGAAAUCAGAUUUACAGUGAUGACCGUGAUGGUGCAAAUAAUUCAAACUAGUCUUUAUGCAAACUUUUCUCACUGGUCAUGAUGUAGGUGGUCAUUUAUUACGGUCACCAACCGGGUCAAAAGUAAUUAAAAAGUAAAACAGCAACACAGCACUAUGCACAGAUAUUGCGAUAGUCGUCGUACAUCUCGUUU